rnacentral:rRNA from 1 species
UACGUAGGUGGCGAGCGUUGUCCGGAUUUACUGGGCGUAAAGGGAGCGUAGGCGGACUUUUAAGUGAGAUGUGAAAUACUCGGGCUCAACUUGAGUGCUGCAUUUCAAACUGGAAGUCUAGAGUGCAGGAGAGGAGAAUGGAAUUCCUAGUGUAGUGGUGAAAUGCGUAGAUAUAUGGAAGAACACCAGUGGCGAAAGCGGCUCUCUGGUCUGUAACUGACGCUGAGGUUCGAAAGCGUGGGUAGCAAACAGG